rnacentral:rRNA from 1 species
GACGAACGCUGGCGGCGUGCCUAAUACAUGCAAGUCGAACGCAGUGGGGACGGGUGAGUAACACGUGGGUAACCUCCCAUCAGAGGGGAUAACACUUGGCAACAGGUGCUAAACCGAUACUGGAGGAUGAACCCGCGGUGCAUUAGCUAGUUGGUGAGGUAACGGCUCACCAAGGCCACGAUGCAUAGCCGACCUGCGAGGGUGAUCAGCCACACUGGGACUGAGACACGGCCCAGACUCCGACGGGAGGCAGCAGUAGGGAAUCUUCGGCAAUGGACGAAAGUCUGACCGAGCAACGCCGCGUGAGUGAAGAAGGUUUUCGGGUCGUAAAACUCUGUUGUUAGCGAAGCGUUAUCUAAACAGAAAGCCACGGCUAACUCCGUGCCAGCCGCCGCGGUAAUAC